rnacentral:lncRNA from 1 species
AGAAUGGGAAACACUUCAUACCUCUCGUUCCCGCUUCCUCUUUUCCUACAAUUUUAGGUCUUCAGCUUGCUGUGCACUAACCACCUUAUGAGAAGAACAGUCUUCCCCUUAUUCCAAGGAUGCCUGUUAACAUUCAUUUCAUUUCUUGAGAACAAAGCCAUCGACAACAAAGUAAAAAUUUACUGAAAAAAAAUAUUGGCAUUACAAAAAUUAUAAGAGAGAUGCAUUGCAACCCUGCCACAGUGUUAUGAAACAUAUUGAGGGGAAAAAUCAGUGCAACAUUGUUCAGAAGUCGAAAGUAUUAGUAACACCAAAAAUGAAAU